CUCAACUCCUGUUAGAUUCUCUAAAACAUAGACAGUUUAAUGUUUUUGAUUCAAGGAUAUUGCAUGCUGUCCUGGGUAUCUCUUCUCUGUGGUAUCAAUUGAAGCUGAAGUGGCAUGCCUGUAGACACACAUGCUAAACUUGACAUUCUUUGCCAAACAAAACCAACCCUACAUCUGUCACCCUAACUGCAAGCUCCCCCGCUAAUCUCAGCAGCUGAUCGCCUGGAAUGCAACUUCGAAGGCUUGAAAACUUUGCAAGAGAGCUGGAGCCAACUUCUAGUGAGCAUAGUCUCAUCAUACUCUAAUCACUGGUCUUUCAAGAGGUGAGAAAGCUGUGGAUGGUGGGUGGAGCACUUGCAAAAAAAGCACAGCAAGCACUAUGCUAUACUUCAAGCCAGCAUCAACUUAUGGGCAACAUGCAUGCAACUUGGAAUUUCUUCCAAUAUGGGGUGUCGGUAUCAAGGAGAGCUCAUUGGUCUGCCAUUGCUGGCUGGACUGACCUUGGUGGUUGGCUGAUGGCUUCAUUGGGUUGGCACCUGACGGUCCCCUGUUUAAGGAUCUUGUAAAAUGGUUUUUGUUGGUUGGUGUUGUUUAGACUGAGGUGGAACGGUCCAUCACCACCUAGUAAAUCAGAAAGGUCAGUCACCUGGUAUGUAUAAUACAAGUUUCUACAAGCAGUUCAUACUCCAGUAGGGCACCUUCUAUUGACUUGAAAAUGUUGGUCAUAGGUUCAUGCUUUUUAAAUGGAGUUGGGUAGGUGAAGUCAAGCCACUUGGUGGUCUUAAUGGGAUGCUGGAUGUAUCAUGCUUUGUGAGAACAUUAUCUUGUAACAGCUAACAAGAAUGAAUGACAAAGAAUGGAUAAAACUGA